GAUCGUCUCUUAUAGGUUGGAGAUUCUCUGACAGUCAAAAACAAGGUAACAUUGCAUAUUCCCAUGGUAAACUACACCAAGAAAAUGUCCCCAUUUCAAAAUGAAGAAUGGGAACAUGGAAAAGAGUAGGGCCCACAAAGACUGAAACUCAGCAAAACAAAUAUGAAUCCAUGACAAUAAUUUCACAUUUUCUCAUGCUCAUCAAGAUUAGUGACCAUACAGCACAACCACAAGUACAAUCCUUAUGUAAUGAAUGCUUUGUAUAACUAUGAAAUUAUCAGGAAUGAUGUUUGGAAGAUGAAUAUUCUGAAGCAAUAUCUUUGCAGGGAGUUAGGAAAUGCAACAAAACCAUCUUAAGAAAGCAGAAGAUGCAUUUAAAGGUUAAAUUUUCUUUCCAGCAUCACAACACUGCGGAUUCAGAUUAGCUAUUUGGACAUAUAUGAAAAGGGUCUUACCAAAA